AUGCUUGGGCUGCGUCACUGGGUCGCGACGGUGCCGGAGGACAACGACGGCGAGGCCGGGUGCCGCGGCACCGCGCUGGCCGCGGCCGGUGAAGGGGGCGAAGAAGGGCGGCUUCCCUGGCCGUGGCCGUGGCCCUGGGAGCUGGUGCGGUGGAAGCGGCACUUGAAGGACCCGGCGUGGGUGGCCGGCGCGCAGACGCACUUGGAAGCGGGCCCGUGGCCCGCGUCGGACGGCGCCGACACCGACCCGGGCCACCUCCUCCGCGUAUUCUUGGAGCUGUGGCUGGCCGAUUUACAUGAAAUUAAUUUCCUCAGUUGUGGUGAAAAAUAUAAUACACAUAAUCUCUACUCCUAA
rnacentral:rRNA from 1 species